ACCAGACUCCUACGGGAGGCAGCAGUGGGGGAUAUUGCACAAUGGGGGGAACCCUGAUCCAGCGACGCCGCGUGAGUGAAGAAGUAUUUCGGUAUGUAAAGCUCUAUCAGCAGGGAAGAAAGAAAUGACGGUACCUGACUAAGAAGCCCCGGCUAACUACGUGCCAGCAGCCGCGGUAAUACGUAGGGGGCAAGCGUUAUCCGGAUUUACUGGGUGUAAAGGGAGCGUAGACGGCGAUGCAAGUCUGAAGUGAAAGGCGGGGGCCCAACCCCCGGACUGCUUUGGAAACUGUGUAACUAGAGUGCAGGAGAGGUAAGCGGAAUUCCUAGUGUAGCGGUGAAAUGCAUAGAUAUUAGGAGGAACACCAGUGGCGAAGGCGGCUUACUGGACUGUAACUGACGUUGAGGCUCGAAAGCGUGGGGAGCAAACAGGAUUAGAUACCCGAGUAAA
rnacentral:rRNA from 1 species